CCGCCAAUUUCACUAUCUCCCCCUCCACCCUCUUUCUAUCGAUACAAGUAUACAUAGAAGAAACGAGACAUCAAACCAUGGCCGGCCUUACAGUGAGCUCGACCGUGCCGUCGCCACGGGCGCUCCCUCGACGAGAUGAGAUGACCUGAAGAACCGCAUCGUCGUCCUCUCCAUCCUCCCCAAAGGAAUCGAGCCCGGAGAGCUCCAAUCGACGGCGAAUUCGCCGAUUCCCUUCUCUGGCCGUCGUCUUUCGGCGACAAUUCCGGCCGCCUCACGCCUCCUCCGACCUCUCUGACCACAUCUACAUGUUCAUGGUGCUCGCCGCCGGCGCUGCUCCGGUGGCCUCCCGAUGCCAAGGACACUAGGUUCUGACUCCCCAAGUUGUUCUACACCCAGCGCCCUAACUUCCCCAUCCCGGUUCGCGUUGAAUCGCAGGAUUGAUUCGCUACUGGAUCUCCCUCCGCCAUGGAUGUUUCUGUCCGAGCUCCGCGUCUACUUGUUCAUAUUAUCGCGCGCCUUUCAGUAAUCACAAAGCAGUCAGCAGUCUAUUGAUCCGGCGCCCGACGGGCCUCAGCCCAUGUCUCGCUAGCGCAGCUAGAUGCUGAUGUGCGCCCAGCAUCUAUCCACCGCCGGCCCAGCACAGGCGCAGCAGAGUUCCCAGGCCAGGUCCGGCCCAGUUCUCUGUCCCGAGCCCGUUUCUUUUAUCUGUUUUGCAUAUAAUGGUUAAAUCCAUAUCUUUUGAACCCUAUUUCC